GUCCACGCCGUAAACGAUGCUAACUCGUUUUUGGGGUUUCGGCUUCAGAGACUAAGCGAAAGUGAUAAGUUAGCCACCUGGGGAGUACGUUCGCAAGAAUGAAACUCAAAGGAAUUGACGGGGGCCCGCACAAGCGGUGGAUUAUGUGGUUUAAUUCGAUGAUACGCGAGGAACCUUACCAAGACUUAAAUGGGAAAUGACAGAUUUAGAAAUAGAUCCUUCUUCGGACAUUUUUCAAGGUGCUGCAUGGUUGUCGU
rnacentral:rRNA from 1 species